GACAGGAUGGCCGAGUGGUUAAGGCGGCAGUUUUGAAUACUUCACAUUGCAUGAACACAUCAGCUGCUUCACUAUGUGAGCGUGAGUUCAAACCUCACUCCUGUCG
rnacentral:tRNA from 1 species